rnacentral:rRNA from 1 species
AUUGAACGCUGGCGGCAUGCCUUACACAUGCAAGUCGAACGGCAGCACGGGUGCUUGCACCUGGUGGCGAGUGGCGAACGGGUGAGUAAUACAUCGGAACAUGUCCUGUAGUGGGGGAUAGCCCGGCGAAAGCCGGAUUAAUACCGCAUACGAUCCACGGAUGAAAGCGGGGGACCUUCGGGCCUCGCGCUAUAGGGUUGGCCGAUGGCUGAUUAGCUAGUUGGUGGGGUAAAGGCCUACCAAGGCGACGAUCAGUAGCUGGUCUGAGAGGACGACCAGCCACACUGGGACUGAGACACGGCCCAGACUCCUACGGGAGGCAGCAGUGGGGAAUUUUGGACAACGGGCGAAAGCCUGAUCCAGCAAUGCCGCGUGUGUGAAGAAGGCCUUCGGGUUGUAAAGCACUUUUGUCCGGAAAGAAAUCCUUGACUCUAAUACAGUCGGGGGAUGACGGUACCGGAAGAAUAAGCACCGGCUAACUACGUG